UACGUAGGGUGCGAGCGUUGUCCGGAAUUAUUGGGCGUAAAGAGCUCGUAGGCGGUUUGUUGCGUCGGCCGUGAAAACCUGCAGCUUAACUGUGGGCCUGCGGCCGAUACGGGCAGACUUGAGUUCGGUAGGGGAGACUGGAAUUCCUGGUGUAGCGGUGAAAUGCGCAGAUAUCAGGAGGAACACCGGUGGCGAAGGCGGGUCUCUGGGCCGUAACUGACGCUGAGGAGCGAAAGCGUGGGGAGCGAACAGG
rnacentral:rRNA from 1 species